GUGGAUAUAGUUCAGUUGGUUAGAACACCAGUUUGUGGCACUGGGGGUCGCCGGUUCGAAUCCGGUUAUCCACCCCA
rnacentral:tRNA from 1 species